GAUAUAAUUUAGAUGUGUGGAGCAUUAUACUAGUCAAACAUGUUGUUGGAAGAUGGGGCUAAAAAUCCAUUAAUUGUGCAAAGCUACUUUAUAUAUUUUGCUUCUUUCGCCCAGAUUGGGGCAUAUAUAUAAUUUUAGGUCUUAGGAAAGAAUAUAAUGGCAUAUAUUUGAAUCCUAUUAUCAGAUAAGCAUUACAUAAAAGCAUAUGUCGUGAGUGGUUUGUAGGAAUGGAAACUGAAAUAUAAACUGCAAAAGCGAAUAAUGACAAAGGGUGUUUGCUUGGGAAAACCUCUAGUAUGUCCAUAUUAUAAAGAUUGAAGUGCGGACUAAGUGGUGAUCGAGUGAUCAUAAUAGGUAACUGAUGAUUAAUACUAUUAAAGAGAAAUCGCCGGUGGGUAACCUAAGGUUAGUAUUGGAGAAAUUCAACUCGACCAAAGCCGUAAAAUUAAUUUAUAAUAUUCCAUGCAUUCAACCUAAGGA
rnacentral:sRNA from 1 species